GUAGGCAUAUCAGUUCCAGUUAAAAGUUGGAUGGGAAUCUGUGCCUCGCGCGCAGUAAUAGAUCUCUGCGUGCAGGCAGCCUGCUUGCACGAGCACUUCAGUCAACAACAACAGUUUCUAAAAAUGUACACAAAAAACUUCUAAAAUAUUUUACUGCUAAGUGGUAGUCCCUGUUCUCCUGCAUUAUUGUUUUAACUUUUGUAGGUAAAGGGGCAUUUUGUUGGGGAGAAAAACGUCAAGGAAUAAAUAUUUAGCUUGCUAACUAACUCAGCAGGGCUAAUUUUAACUAGCUAACAUUAGCUCUCUGACUAAUCCAUCAUGGAUAUGGAAUCUUCUAGCUUGGAAGGAUCGAGGAGUGAACAAAGGGAAGGAGUACUGAAGUUACAUUUCUUAGUCAGCAGGCUGGCUCCUGAAACAUGUCAAUGACUUAAUGCAUGGGGUCUACAACAGUUACCAGUGACCUAUUCUGCCACAUCCCAGCGAAAGGAGAGAGCAGAACCACCCCUCCUUAAACCCAUAGUCAUUGACAAUCUGACCCAUCGCAUGACUCUGGAAGAGGGCCACUACGCUCCAGAUCGCCUUCUGUGCUCAGAGGUCCUUGAUGACAACCUACCCCAUCGCACCACUCGUAUGAAUCACUAAUCAAAUAAAACAAUGGGCCUUUA